GUCCACGCCCUAAACGAUGUCAACUAGUUGUUGGGGGGUAAAACCCUUUAGUAACGUAGCUAACGCGUGAAGUUGACCGCCUGGGGAGUACGGCCGCAAGGUUAAAACUCAAAGGAAUUGACGGGGACCCGCACAAGCGGUGGAUGAUGUGGAUUAAUUCGAUGCAACGCGAAAAACCUUACCUACCCUUGACAUGUUCAGAAGCUUGAAGAGAUUUGAGUGUGCCCGAAAGGGAACUGAAACACAGGUGCUGCAUGGCUGUCGU
rnacentral:rRNA from 1 species